GAUGAACGCUAGCGGCAGGCUUAAUACAUGCAAGUCGAGAGGCAUCAAGGUACACGAAAGUGUAUUGUUGGCGACCGGCGGACGGGUGAGUAAUAGGUAGGUAACCUACCUCAUACUGAGGCAUAGCUGGGAGAAAUUCCAGGUAAUUCCUCAUGAGGUUAUAUGACACAUGUGAUAUAAUCAAAGGUAUCGCAAGGUACUGGUAUGAGAUGGGCUUACUGACCAUUAGCUAGUUGGUGAGAUAAGAGCUCACCAAGGCGAAGAUGGUUAGGGGUUUGAGAGAGAGAUCCCCCACAUUGGAACUGAGAUACGGUCCAGACUCCUACGGGAGGCAGCAGUAGGGAAUAUUGGGCAAUGGGCGGAAGCCUGACCCAGCCAUGCCGCGUGAAGGAAGACGGCCUUAUGGGUUGUAAACUUCUUUACUAUGCGACUAACUAGAUUUACGAGAUAAUUCUAUAGAAUGUAGCAUAGACAAAAAGCAACCC
rnacentral:rRNA from 1 species